rnacentral:lncRNA from 1 species
AUGAGACAUGAGCACAGCCUGGUUAAAACAAUUUUAGCAGGCAGGUACACCAAGUUGGAUAAAGCUUACUUUUCUUCUUCUUUCUUCUUCUUCUUCUUCUUCUUCUUCUUCUUUCUUCUUUCUUCUUUUUCUUCUUCUUCUUCUCUGGCUCCCUCUCUCAGUCUCUCUCUGACUCUCAAUCUCUCUCUCUGUCUCUCAGUCUCUCUCUCUCUCUUUAUCUCUCUCUCAAUCUUUCUCAGUCUCUCUCUCUCUCUCCCUCUUUCUCUCUCUUCUCUAUCUGACUCCUCUAUCUCAUUCUCUUUUUUUAAAUACUGAUGAAUCACUCCUGACUCUUAUUCAUUUGACUCAUACAACUGUGUUUAAGUUGAAGUUCAAGAAUACUAGGUCACCCUCAUUAUAUCUGAUCUGGCAGUCACAAUGGGCAGGAUUUAAUUUGGAAGAAAAUAUUUGAUUCUAAUUUGCAUUUUGUGUGUGUGUGUUUUAAGUAUCUACUUGGUUAACACAUUCACAUGCUAAAAGCUUGAGCGAAUGUAUGUGGUCAUUCAUUUUGCAGUUUGGAAGGAUUUGUAUUGUUCAAACUUUCCAGCAGGCAAUGAACCAGUCCACACUUGAAAAAGGCCUUUACAUCUAUCUCCCUUCCCCUGGAAUUCAGUUGUCUAGCUCUACAGAUUCAAAGUCAUAGGCUUUACAUUUUCCCCCUAUUAUGGAAAUAUGAACAUUAACAGGGGAAUCAAAUUCAUACUCCUACAUAUAUAUUACUUUCUAUUUUUAAUAAGUCUACAAAAACAAUAAUAGCCCAUUCAAGUUUUCAUUCAAAAAUAAUCUUGAAUUUCCCUCCUUUGCUUUGGGUUUUUCUAAAAAAAAAAAAUAGACAUUCCACUGUAGAAACCAUGAUUGAUUGGCAACAGUGAGCAAAGGAGGGAAACCUUUGUUCCCUAAACCAGAAAAAAAAAAUAUAUAUAUAUAUCUAGUCCACUAUAGAGACUUAAAUUUUAGGAAGUGAAUAUUGAUGCAUUAAAUUGAGAAUGAAAUAUGACUAGUUUACUUCAAUGUCCUGGAAACUGAUAGUAUUUUUCUAUGGUGUUAGAAACAUUUUCUGUACUAAAUGAUAGAUAUUUUCAUUUUACACUUUUUUCUACAUGUCCAUUAAAGGAAAUGGUCUAAACCUGGUUUUCCUGGAUUCUGGUUUCCUUAGCUGUAAAUCAACACAAUAUGGCCAAUUUUCCACUUUCCAAUGAAAUAAAGUCAUGGUUUUCUAGACGCUCA